UGAGAACCGACCUUUGCAAGUCCCAGCCUUUUGAAACCCUCAGCUCUGGGAAAUGUCCAUUGAUUUUUUUGUACUCUCCACUCAGGCACCAGCCUUCUACCACAUUGCUGAGCCUUGUCUCUUUCCUGCUUGACUCACUCAUUCCCAUGCCCCUAAGUACCUGUGUCGUUUUACUGCAGAGUUGUUAAAUGUGUCUUUAAGCAUCAUGGUCUUCACAUGCAUAAUGCCAGCCAUAGCCUCAGACACUUUUGAGAGGAAUGCAGUGGCCAUGCAACCUCUUAUUUAAGGCAUUAUUUCUUUUGUUGGAAUUUGAGAGAUUGAGAGAUUGAAUUGAAAAGCUAAAGGAAAGAGAAUCACGUGAUUGUAGAAUUUCCAGAUUGAGAGACUACAGGUCAAGUGGGAUUUUAUGUGUGCAUAUAUGUGCGUACACACACACCAGGCACUGAACUCAGAGGCACUUGACCACUGAGCCACAUCCCCAGUCCUAUUUUGUAUUUUAUUUAGAGACAGAGUCUCAUUGAGUUGCUUAGUGCCUUGCUGUUGCUGAGGCUAGCUUUAAACUCAUGACCCUCCUGCUUCAGCCUCCAGAGCCACUGGGAUUACAGGUGUGUGCCACCAUGCCUGGCUUCAAGUGGGAUUUUUAUUGAAGGGAAUUGACAUAGUGAUAUAGGGGGCAAGAAUCUGAAUAUUCUAUUAUUCUGUUUAGUUGACAUUUUCUUUUGGUUAGAUGCAGAAUAAUCUUCAUAAAACUUAGGAUAACAAACACAACUGUCAAAGUGCAGAUAGUUAUAAAACCAUUUCAUUGUUAAUUGUGGUUCCUCUAGAAAUGAGGAAAUGAAGCGCAGGAACUACCUCAAAACAAUUCAGCCAGUGAUCAGUCACAAGGUAGAUGUCAAGUCUUCUAGGCUUAGGGAAGGAUCAUCACAGGGAGAGGAACUUAGUCAACACCAUCUUUUUUCUUUGGGGCAUUUAGUAGAUAAAAAACAUUAAGCUGGAAGAGACAGACCCACAUAGGUCAUUAGGAUUCUUCCAGGAAUGGUAGUGUGUGGCCACAGCUGAGAGCAUAUUGAUUGUGAUGUUCCAGGAAGCCUAGGGGGGGCAUGUGUGCAGCCUGCUGGGCUGAGGGGCAGCUGGAAUUUGAAGCAUAUUGAGCCCUGUGAUAUGGGAUAAAUAGGUAGAAGGCUGGAGCAUUUUAAGCAUGAGCAUGGAAAACCCAGACACAAAGAAACUUCCAAAUGCUUGUGGUCCAAAACAGCAAGAAUCUUUGAACUCUAACGCUGUCACAGACCUCCAGGCUUGCAGAGCCCGGGCCAGGACCUGAAGCUUUUUUAAUUUGUUUUAAAGUGUUGAAAUGUGUUUUCUUACCCCCAGUGAGGUCUUGUAUGGGGAGAACUCAAUGAUGUUAAGACCCCUGGAAUUCUUGAACAUUUUUAAGAGUUUUCAAUUAAAAAAUCUUGUUUAGUUGUCUCUCCCUAUUUUGAGUAGUCUUUUCUAAUAAAUGGAUUCUAUCUUCCUUUGUUCUUUUUUUGACAAAUACUUUGGAGCCCCUGGUGAUAUAAAUGGAAUGAAUGAGAGAAGGAUGGUAUGAUGACAUGGUGCCUGUUUUGAUGGAGGUAAUAAUCUGUCAGGGAGAAAGAGGGAAAUUAAGCACCCAGCAUGCUCUCCAAACAGAGGAAACAUUUGGUACAUAUUUAUUGAGUGGACCAUUGAGUGCUGUGAUAUAGAAAGGUGCAGGGAGUAUACAGGCUGAGUGUGAGCUUUCAACAAAGUCUCUU
rnacentral:lncRNA from 1 species